rnacentral:rRNA from 1 species
AACGCUGGCGGCGUGCCUAACACAUGCAAGUCGAGCGAGGAGAUUCCUUCGGGAUGAUCCUAGCGGCGGACGGGUGAGUAACACGUGGGCAACCUGCCUCAUAGAGAGGAAUAGCCUUCCGAAAGGGAGAUUAAUACCUCAUAACAUUGCAGUUUCGCAUGGAACAGCAAUUAAAGGAGUAAUCCGCUAUGAGAUGGGCCCGCGGCGCAUUAGCUAGUUGGUGAGGUAAUGGCUCACCAAGGCGACGAUGCGUAGCCGACCUGAGAGGGUGAUCGGCCACAUUGGGACUGAGACACGGCCCAGACUCCUACGGGAGGCAGCAGUGGGGAAUAUUGCACAAUGGGGGAAACCCUGAUGCCAGCAACGCCGCGUGAGUGAUGACGGCCUUCGGGUUGUAAAGCUCUGUCUUCAGGGACGAUAAUGACGGUACCUGAGGAGGAAGCCACGGCUAACUACGUGCCAGCCGCCGC